UGAGAGAGAGAAUGAGUCAGGUAGAAGGUGUCAUCAUUUCGGAGCCGCUGCCACGCAAGUGGAGACAGCUCCUGGAGCAAGUGGCAACGUGUUGGUAAAAGAGUGACCGCGGGAAAAAGGUCGCUUUGUAGACCCCCGGGGGUCUGUUAAGCAGUCGAUCUCCUACCUGCCGCGCAGAGCCCCUUUUGUGGGACAGGAAUGGUGUGGCCACUGGAACAAUUGUUUCAUGAGAGCCGCUGCACUUCAACUUCAUGUAUCAUGUAGGGUACCGAGAAACAAAAGAGUCACAGUGCAAAGAAGCCAUAUGGUGCGAAGAAAAGAAACACCUGUUCUGUAUCCCACCGGCCAUUAAAAUAUGCUCAUUUAAACUAUGAGACCACAGUCCGUGUCACCGAUACGCCUUGAUAUUACAUGUCAGCCACAUAUCGGACCCUUUGUGGAUUCCUCCACCCGACUUGGCUUGAUAAGCGGAGCCUUCCAAAACCUCAGAUCAAUAUUUCCCGUGCUCCUACAAGCAAAGGCUACCUGACCACUAAUACAAACAAAUGUCAGACUGAAGAAAUGGAUUUCUUUAUGAUCAAGAAAUAGGCAAUGAAAGGAUCAGAUAUUUGGUUACCCUCUGUGCUCUAUUCUUGGACUCUCUGAUCAGAGUCAGAAAAGGCACAUAUAGGAAAA